rnacentral:rRNA from 1 species
UACGUAGGGGGCAAGCGUUGUCCGGAAUUAUUGGGCGUAAAGCGCGCGCAGGCGGUUGUUUAAGUCUGGUGUUUAAACCAUGGGCUCAACUCAUGGUCGCACUGGAAACUGGGCAACUUGAGUGCAGAAGAGGAGAGUGGAAUUCCACGUGUAGCGGUGAAAUGCGUAGAUAUGUGGAGGAACACCAGUGGCGAAGGCGACUCUCUGGGCUGUAACUGACGCUGAGGCGCGAAAGCGUGGGGAGCAAACAGG